CGUACUACAGCCAUUGACGCACGACGUUCUCAUUUACGGUACCCGUGUACGACAAGCCGUUGGAAGUGGUUACCGCAGUCGGUUGUUUUGCUCGUUGCUCCGCGACCGGUCUUUGGUUACUGUUUGCAUCUGCGGCCCACGAUUGCCCGGCCUACUUUAUAUUUGAUAACUUCUACAUAACAUAUCAUGGACACAGAACAGAUUAUGGAGAACCAGCCACAGGUUCCAGAGAAUCCUCAUGCAGAAUAUGGUCUUACAGAAAAUGUCGAGCGGAUAGCAGAAAAUGAGAAGACUGCUGCAGAGAAGACAUCAAAACAGAAGGUGGAUCUUCAGUCAUUACCUACACGUGCCUAUUUGGAUCAGACAGUUGUGCCUAUCUUGCUACAAGGCCUUGCAGUACUUGCAAAAGAGAGCAUGUUUUUCUUCUUGCUCUUCUAUGUAGCAAAGUGAACUGCUAGUAGAUCUGUCUCUCCCACUUUGCAGGGGAGGGAAAAAUUGUAGCAAGGCCACCAAAUCCUAUUGAAUUCCUAGCAACAUAUCUGCUAAAAAAUAAGGCACAAUUUGAGGACCGAAAUUAACUCCUUUAGAAGACAACCUCAUGACUGCUCAGCGUAUAUUCUUAAAUAAUCAUGAAUCAUUGUCUGAUGUAUAAAUCCUUCAAAACCAAAAAUGUCCUUCUCAUACCACUUCUUUAGCCUUUUUUCCCAAUUAUUUAAUAAAGUACUUUACAUUUUA